AGCAGCAGCCAGACCUGACUUCUUCGCCGGAGUGUUGACCAGUUUUGGAAAGCCUGAUUAAAGUCUGUAGCUCUGGAGGAGCUAGCUUGGAAACCUGCCUGCCUGCCCUAGGAAGCCAAACCUGAAGACAAUCAGUCUGGAUUCCCCAAUCAGCUCUCAUGGGAGAGCUUGGACAUCAUUCAAGGUCUGAAACUCAAUUGUCUGAAGCUAGACGCUGCUGCUGCUGAGCUCUCUGCUGAACCCACUGUCUCUGGACCCAAUUGGUUCCCCCUCUCCAGUGAUCUGCCUGAACCUCAUCAAGUGACUGCUGUCCCGGACCUGUACCAGAACCAGCUCUGGUUUUUCCGUGUGUGC